GUUUUCUUUGUGUGAAGGCUCUGCCAGGCUAGAAUUUAUGGUACUAAGCAGGUGACUGGAUGCGGCUUAUUUUAAAAUUACCUCUUCAUUCAUGCUCCAUGAAAGCACCAAGAAACACCAUCCGUUGGGUUUUAAAUCUGGUCCUCAGCUGCUGUUUCCAAUUCCUGGCGUUGCCGUUAAAUCCUAGCUCCAGCAUAAUUCCCCGAUUGACAGUCUCAUGUCAAGGCCAAAAAGAAGCACACGGAACUAUCAGGUCUCUAGCCUCCGUGUCAUAGGACAAGGUUCCCUGAAGAAACCAAUGACUGAACCCACUUGCUACCCAUCCUGAGCAGAGACGGACACCAUGAAAUCUCCCUUGUCGGUUUUAAAGGAUGUGGAUCAAACUGCUUCUUGUGCAUUUUACUUAAUAAUGCAGAUGCCUAAUCUCUCCCUUUGGCUUAAGCCUACCUUGUCUCACUGUGUACUAGGAAAAGGAGGAGAAAAUAAAAGAAAAAGCCAAUGCAGUGGGGCCUGCAGGAGAGAGGGUGUAGACUCCUCAAAUGAUCACAACUGCGUGAUUGUCCUGGGUACACGUCUUUGAUAGCCUGCCAUUUGUCCCCACUCACCUAGAGAGCCUGUGGAUGGCCUGAGAGGUUUGUGAGCGUGUGUGCGUUUUAACAAAUUUUCAAAAGUUGCCAUGGGGAGAGGAUAGCAAGAAAGCUCUUCAAAAAAGAAAAUUAUUUUCACAGCAUCAUCACAAGAAAAACACCUGUGCAAUAGAUAUCUCUGAAGGUCGGCUGCAAUCUGAACUAAUUGGGAGGGAAGGGGAGAGCUCUCUGUUUGCUCACCUCCAGUAAUGGGCCUUGGAGAAGUGAUCGGUAGCCAAACACUUCGUGCAAUGACUGGUUUGGACACUCUAAACAAAAAGGAAGACUUCUCCAAGCUGCUUCUUGUUCGUGUCACUGAGAGAGGUCACCACCUGCCUUCAUCCACUAGUCACUUCUGAUCACUGGGUAGAGAUUCUGUUACAGAAGUUAUCUCCUGUCGCAAGGACAUCAAUCUCUCCCGACCCCCAGCAUAAGAGGGGACUUGGAGGCAAGAAGAUGAUCUCAAAUCCUCGAGAUCACAGCCAAGGAACAUUAUUUAGAGGCUGUGACUGAAAAUCAACGCCAAUCUGGGUGAAGGUACUACAUUAAGCCAAUAACAGACAACAAGCCUGUGACUGUUUUGUAUGAUGAUGAGAUUGGCCGAAGCCCCACUGCUGUGAGGAGGAAGGGAGCAUGAUCCGGGGAGAGCCUGCACUGCUCUUUGAAGAGUGUCUGUUGUGAUUGCUAGCUGCUUUCCACAGAUCCUUGCUGAAUAUUAUGCCAUUAAACAGUGUGAAAGAAAAAUCAAAAUAUAUGUUUACUGGGUACUAAAUAGUAAGUGCCUUUCAAAUGCUCUUUAAUGGACAGACUUUAAAGUCAUCGUAGAGCACCCUCACAAUCCAAGAGCAGCGUGCUCCUCUCUGUAAAACACCUCGAGGGGCUGACGAGGGCUGACUAUGAAGUGUAACCGCCCUGCAACUCUGGUCCCUUAAAGGCGUCCAUCUUUAGAGAGUGGAAAUGCUUUCAGCCAUACAUACUGGUCUAUAGUUUUCAUGGAAAAACUGGUGAUCUCUCAGUCGUAUUUUCUCAGAAAUGGAGUGACAGUCAGUGAGCCGUUUAACAUAACAGAUAGACACACCUCCUCAGGGACCCAGGGAGGGAGGGAGUUUGUGUGUGCAGGUAUUUAGAACCAUAUACCAGGGUUUAAGCGCUACAGAAGACUUGUGGUGCGAAAUAUAGAAAUGAUCGAAUACAUUUAUACAUGUGCAGUUUCAGAACGUCUCUGAACACGGUGCAUCUUUAGUGCUGUGACUCUGACUUCUGUAGAAGAUCAGGACUCUGACUUCUGAAGAUCAGGAUGAAAUCGAAGGCACUGCGGACCUCAGUACCUCACAGAGGGUGAUCACAAAUCAGUAGCAGAAAAAAAAUAGGUGAUAUCUCAUAGUUGAAAUUAAAGGAUGAAUGAUUAACUCUCUAGGAAAGCCUAAUGUUGAAUCCGUAUCUCAUUUCUUUGGGGAAAGCUCAAGAGUUAAGAAGUAAACUUUAAAGAUGCCACCAAACAGUAGAAAAACACAUGGGAACAUCCUUUAUAUUUUUGGUGCAAAAGGAAAGACAAAAGCCACAAAUAUAGAAGAAAACACUUUAUGACUCUAUCAAGUCAGGUAUUUAGCCUAGAAGGAGCUCAAGCAUUCAAGAGACAGAUGACGAAUUGGAGGAAAAAAAAUUGCAACACAUAACACAAUCAAAAUAUACAAUUUCCAAAACAUGAAAAUCAACACUCCUCAAGAAAUAAGAAUAAAAUAUCUAUAAAAAGGACUAACUUAAAACGACUCUACAGGUCAAAAAGUGACAUCACUAACAAUGAGCUUAAAUAAUGACAAAAUACUGUUUCUUGCUGUCAGACCAGCAAAACUUCAAAAGUUUAAUUUAUCCGUGGUGGGUAAGGACGGAAAGGAGGAGCUAUCGGCGGCGCUGAGGGAGUGCGGAUUGGAAUAAACCUCCACAGAAGGGAGUUUAACAAUUUUCAUCAAAAUUACAAAUGCAAAUAUACUCUUUAACCUAGAAAUUUCAGUUCUGGGAUUUUAUCAUUCACAUAUUUUUGCAUAUAUAAGACGCAGAAAUUACACGCGUUUAUUUAUAAAAGGGAUGUAUGGAGGACAGCCCCAAUGGCCACCAAAGGGUCGAACCAAAGAAACUACAGUGCACCCACAUGGUGCAGUGCUGUGCUGUUGUAAAAGAAGAAAGGGAAACAGAAAGAUGGAUGUGCUCUGGUACAAAGUUACUAUUAAAUAUAACGUUAUGGAGAAGCAGCACCCAGCCGCGUGAACAGUAUGACGCCAAGUGCAUAAAGAAAGUAAGCUAAGACUUAUGUUAGCGUUUUCAAGUCUUGCACAAGGAAACUGUGGGAACCCACAAGAACAAACAAACAAAUAAAACCCCUAAGAGACAGAGGGCAUGGAGAAGAGAAAGCUGGACGGACAGGUUUCAAACAAAGAAAGAAAUAUUUUCACAGGAAACCUUUUUAAUCCUUUCUGUUUUCGAGUAAUAUUUUCACUAAAUGUUACCCGCUUAAAGCUAUGCAGAACUUACUUAAUUAAAUGAAAUAGCUAAAUAAAAACUAUAUCAUUCCAAAUUUUGGAAAGAAAAUGUUUACAGUGAAAGAUUAUACUAUUACUAAUGCAAAUAAUUACUGAUUAGGAAGGGUGUGUGUCUAAUGAAGCCGUGAUGGGAGUGAUCAGUGCGGUGUUUACAUGAGCCAUUAUUAAUUACCCUAUGGUAUCGCUCAUCAUCUGGGGGUGUUACACAUGUGCAUUUCCUAAUCCUAAAAAUCACGGAAGUUGGUAAAUAGAAACAGGAUUGUACCUGUAUUAUUUAUCUCCAAAAAGACUUCUGUCACUUGAAUAAAACAUCUGUGUAGUUAGCUCUUGAAUUAAAAAGGAAAUCAUCUCUACAUCCCCAAAGUAGAAUUUGACCAUAAUGCUAUGUGAUCACCCAAAGACAAUUUACCCAACCACUAAUUCUAAUUCUGGUUCAGUCUUCACAUCUAACGUGGUAUCUUCAGGUUAAACAGAACAUAAGGUUAAGGCAGUACAGCCUCCUGAGCCCAAGAGCCUACGUGACAAUUGCACAGUUAAAAACUAUAUUUACUCUAAAUUGCAAAAUGGUGGGUAUUGUAUGCGAUGUAUAAGUUGCAGCAAUUGUUCUAGUAAUAAAUGCAGUACCCAGCAGCAUUUCUCAUAGACUACCCAGUUCAUCAUUAGUGCCAUUUUGCCUCUUUAUAAUAAUGUGCACUUCCCUUUAGAAAAAGCUUGGUUAUUUCUUUGGUUGGGCCUAUUUGCUCCUUUUUUAUGUGAGAUUUUUCAAUACUCUGAAAUGAUGCAGAGCAAAAAAGGUCCAUCCACUUCACUUGUGUUGCCUCCUGCGUUACCUAAACCACAACAGAACAAUGACAGACAACAGAGCCUUUCUCCUCUCUAACAAUUCAGUCACCAUGACAACCAGCAGAAGAACGUUGGGCCAGAAAAAAAAGCAUUGAGCUUGAGGGACUAGACUAAUCAAAAAAUGGAAUAACAUGGCAACAAUUACACUGAUGAGUGAGAGAGGAGCCGCAGAUGCAUUCAGACACCUAUGGCACCGCGGGCUCCAUGCAUUCAGCAUUUCGUGUUUAGUGUCUUGUGUUUUUGAGAGCAGGAACUGUUUGACCAGUGCCUACUCUGCAUGCUGAGCACCAAGUUGUGUGAGUUAAGUAUGAGGAGAGAGUUCAGCUGCCUCCAGCCAAGCAAACA
rnacentral:sRNA from 1 species